CUGUAGCCAAUUGAGCAGACCGACCCAGUUCCUUUCCUGGCAGGAACAUGGAGUGUAAGGAUUGCAAACAGGGACUUCCUUGGGAGUGUAGGCAGCCUGUUGCUUAUAUGAUUUCUUGAGGGACUUUCAAGGCAAUU